rnacentral:rRNA from 1 species
UACGAAAGGUGCAAGCGUUACUCGGAAUCACUGGGCGUAAAGCGCACGUAGGCGGAUUUGUAAGUCAGGGGUGAAAUCCCGGGGCUCAACCUCGGAACUGCCUUUGAUACUGCAAAUCUCGAGUCCGAUAGAGGUGGGUGGAAUUCCUAGUGUAGAGGUGAAAUUCGUAGAUAUUAGGAAGAACACCGGUGGCGAAGGCGGCCCACUGGAUCGGUACUGACGCUGAGGUGCGAAAGCGUGGGGAGCAAACAGG